rnacentral:lncRNA from 1 species
AUGACAGGCACAUGUGCUGUCAUUCCAGCCACUUCCCCACCUGUGUGCGAGGUGCGGGAUGGCUCCGAGAGUCCCUGCCCUGUGGGCGCAGGGCUGGAGCUGCCGCCUCCGCUUCAGACAGCUGUGUGGCUGCUGCCGCCCACAGGGCCGAGCGGGGAACGGCCCCGGUUACCUCACACAAAGGGAGACGGAGCUCACGAGCCUCCGGCUGCUUUCUUUCCUACAGGCUGUCGGUGCUGCCUGCUUUCUCCACGAGACACGUGUCUGCUUUUGCAUUUCUCUGAUGUUUCCUGUGGGGAUUUUCCUCAGUGACUCCCUGCGAUGACACUCAGGAAGACAGACUGCUAAAUAUGAAUCGCAGAUGCUCUGAAGAGUUCCCUGAUAGCGCUACCAAAAGGGAGGUGGAGGAGGUAAGAGUUCAGGGCAAAAAGUAAUAUCAUAGUGGAAGAGAUUUUUUCAAUCCUACAUGCUGCAGGAAAGAAUUUUGUUAAUGGAGUGUUACAAUCUUUUGAGUGUGUCCCUCUCCCAGAAGGAUUUCUUGGAAGCUCGUAAGUGCCUUUGGUACGUCUUUGCAUAUAGGCCAUAUGCCUCUGGUGUGGAGGACUUGGAAACUCUAGCUCCUGCUUCAGAGCAGAAGGGCAGACCGUAAGCAUUGGUUUAACUCUUUUAGGUUUUAUUUGGGAUGGGAUUGAUGCAAGGUCUAUUAUAACAUGCUGGACAGAAGUUGGCUUGACGUGGUGAUUUUAAGUUGUCUGAUGUUAAUAGCUGCUUGUUUGUGUCCUUGUUGCCUUGCUUCCUGUUCAGUUACCACCUGCUUUAAAGUAUUGUAACAGACCUGAUGUGGGAUCAAUUCAUUAACUCCUUCCUCCUCUGUACAAAUAGCAAAAAAUUUAUGCCCUCCUGCAUUAGUGUGAGAUGAAGACAGGAGAUUUGUCAUGAUCAACUAAUGCUGUUGCUAGGAUCCCUCUCACUCUUGAAAAAAUACUUUUACAAUUUUUUCCUCAUUUUAGAGUCUUCAACUCUGUUUGCCCUAGAGUUUUCCCAACUUUAUUUUUCUUUACCCAUCCAUUUUCUAUAAUUUAUAAUUCUGAUUGAUUGUAUACCGUAGAAACUUGUAUUCAAAUGUGUUCCUAACCUGGAGCUUCCAUUUUGUGCAGAAAUCGGAGUAGGGAUGGCUAUCUUUUAAAUGACACUUCUUAGUUGGUUUUGGGCCAGUCUAAUUUGACUUGCCACAUCUCCGUGUGAGUUGCAAUUUAGCCAUUAAUAAUGUCAAAUUUAGAAAGAAGAACUGACUGACUCAGACAUGAGGCUUUGAGGUGAGGAUUAAUAAAGAUAGUUCCCAUUUUCA